rnacentral:rRNA from 1 species
UACGAAGGGGGCUAGCGUUGCUCGGAAUCACUGGGCGUAAAGCGCACGUAGGCGGAUUGCUAAGUCAGGGGUGAAAUCCUGGAGCUCAACUCCAGAACUGCCUUUGAUACUGGCGACCUUGAGUCCGGGAGAGGUGAGUGGAACUGCGAGUGUAGAGGUGAAAUUCGUAGAUAUUCGCAAGAACACCCGUGGCGAAGGCGGCCCCCUGGGUCGGCCCUGACGCUGAGGCGCGAAAGCGUGGGGAGCGAACGGG